rnacentral:sRNA from 1 species
UUCCAACCAUAAGUGCACUUGGUGCAGAA